AUUGAACGCUGGCGGCAGGCUUAACACAUGCAAGUCGAACGAGUGGCGGACGGGUGAGUAGUGCUUGGGAAUCUAGCUUAUGGAGGGGGAUAAAUCCGGGAAACCGUAGCUAAUACCGCGUAACAUAGGAUGAGACCCAGUGGGAUUAGGUAGUUGGUGAGUGAAAGGCGCACCAAGCCGACGAUCUCUAGCUGGUCUGAGAGGAUGACCAGCCACACGGGGACUGAGACACGGCCCAGACUCCUACGGGAGGCAGCAGUGGGGAAUAUUGGGCAAUGGGGGCAACCUGACGCAGCCAUGCCGCGUGAAGGAAGAAGGCUUUCGGGUUGUAAAGUUCUUUCGGUAGCGAGGCGUUAACUACAGAAGAAGCACCGGCUAACUCCGUGCCAGCAGCCGCGGUAAUAC
rnacentral:rRNA from 1 species